UACGAACCGUGCGAACGUUGUUCGGAAUCACUGGGCUUAAAGGGCGCGUAGGCGGGUCGCCAAGUUUGGGGUGAAAUCCUCCCGCUCAACGGGAGAACGGCCUUGAAUACUGGCGAUCUCGAGGGGGAUAGGGGCAUGCGGAACUACGGGUGGAGCGGUGAAAUGCGUUGAUAUCCGUAGGAACUCCGGUGGCGAAGGCGGGUCUCUGGGCAAUUCCUGACGCUGAGGCGCGAAAGCGUGGGGAGCAAACGGG
rnacentral:rRNA from 1 species